GCGAAGGUGGCGUAGUGGUUAACGCAUCUUCCUAGUGAGCAGGAGACCCGAGUUCGAAUCUUGGCCUUCGUA